rnacentral:rRNA from 1 species
CCCUGGCUCAGGACGAACGCUGGCGGCAUGCCUAAUACAUGCAAGUCGAGCGGAGUAAGAAUGGAAGCUUGCUUCCAUUCUUACUUAGCGGCGGACGGGUGAGUAACACGUAGGCAACCUGCCCUCAAGACUGGGAUAACUACCGGAAACGGUAGCUAAUACCGGAUAAUUUCUUUCCUCUCCUGAAGAGAGAAUGAAAGGCGGAGCAAUCUGCCACUUGGGGAUGGGCCUGCGGCGCAUUAGCUAGUUGGUGGGGUAACGGCUCACCAAGGCGACGAUGCGUAGCCGACCUGAGAGGGUGAACGGCCACACUGGGACUGAGACACGGCCCAGACUCCUACGGGAGGCAGCAGUAGGGAAUCUUCCGCAAUGGGCGAAAGCCUGACGGAGCAAUGCCGCGUGAGUGAUGAAGGUUUUCGGAUCGUAAAGCUCUGUUGCCAGGGAAGAACGUCCGGUAGAGUAACUGCUACCGGAGUGACGGUACCUGAGAAGAAAGCCCCG